UACAGAGGGGGCAAGCGUUGUUCGGAAUUACUGGGCGUAAAGGGCGCGUAGGCGGCCUGUUAAGUCGGACGUGAAAUCCCUCGGCUCAACCUGGAGACGCCAUCUGAUACUGCCGUGGCUUGAGUCCGGUAGAGGAGCAGGGAAUUCCUGGUGUAGCGGUGAAAUGCGCAGAUAUCAGGAGGAACACCAGUGGCGAAGGCGGAUCUCUGGGCCUUACCUGACGCUGAGGCGCGAAAGCUAGGGGAGCAAACAGG
rnacentral:rRNA from 1 species